CCCCUAUUCUUUUAAAAAAACAGAGAGCUUCUUUGCUCUCUCUUCCUCCUCCAUGGCCGACCAUGGGUUCAUCGGGGGUCCUCCGCGCCCCACGCCACGAACUGUGACCAGUGUUACCUGAAACGGGUCCCUUCGACCCUCUUUUUGAAUAGGUCUUAAGAAGGAGCCCUUAUGACCGCAGCAACGCAAGGAAAAAGGGAAGGACCCUUCGGUUCUUCGCUCUCCGCUGUGGCCAAUGGUCGAACCCCCAGGGUUUCGACGACCUUCAGAUUGGCGAGAGGACGCCGAAGCGCACCCAAAUAGUGAAUCGAAGGUUUCAUGCGACGCGUGGAAGAGGUGAUGGUCAGGGGCGUGGUGGCCAAGGAGGCGGCACACGAGGUGGCUUGGGCUUGCGGCUGCUGAGGCACCUAGGGGCUAGGGCUCUUCUUGCUGUUUUGUUUUGGUAUUGGGCUGAUUUGGGCUAAAAUUUGGGUAGUGGGUUUGGGUUAAUUGAUGUGUAACGGGUUUGGUUUUAAUUUUGUAAUGGGCUCUUUAUUAUUUGGUUGGAUUUUAUUAUUGAUUUAUUGGUUUGGGUGUUCUAAGCCAAAAUUGGCUAUUACAGAUUUUUCUUCAUUAUAUAAAUUUUUAGUAUUAUAA